rnacentral:rRNA from 1 species
UACGGAGGAUGCAAGCGUUAUCCGGAAUGAUUGGGCGUAAAGCGUCCGCAGGUGGCAAUGUAAGUCUGCUGUUAAAGAGUCUAGCUCAACUAGAUAAAAGCAGUGGAAACUACAUAGCUAGAGUACGUUCGGGGCAGAGGGAAUUCCUGGUGUAGCGGUGAAAUGCGUAGAUAUCUGGAGGAACACCGGUGGCGAAGGCGGCGUCCUGGACCAACACUGACACUGAAAAGCGAAAGCCAGGGGAGCAAACGGG